UAAAUUAAUUCUGUUUAGAGCAAAGCAGUCAUCACUAAGUAUCUGUCAACUUCUGGAAACUCCCUGGGCUACACUGAGCUGAACUGUAUUGGCUCCAAUCUGUGCUCAUUAGACACCAGCACACUGCAGACCAUCACCCCAGACAGCAUCAGAAAUGCCAAACCUCUGAAUCUCACAUCAUGUUCACCUGAGCAGAAGAGGGUGUUGUAUGAGAUCUCCAAAACUGCCUUCAGCUCACAACAACAGUCCUCUGACUCCUCCUAUUACUUACUAAUUAACAGCUAUCUUGGUGGAGCACCUCUGUCAGAUGUAAAGGCACUGUCACUUCAAAACGUCAACAUGGACAUAAACACAUUU